UACGAAGGGUGCAAGCGUUACUCGGAAUUACUGGGCGUAAAGCGUGCGUAGGCGGCGAGUUAAGUCUGUCGUGAAAGCCCCGGGCUCAACCUGGGAAUGGCGAUGGAUACUGGCUCGCUAGAGUGCGGUAGAGGAGAGUGGAAUUCCCGGUGUAGCAGUGAAAUGCGUAGAGAUCGGGAGGAACAUCAGUUGCGAAGGCGGCUCUCUGGACCAGCACUGACACUGGGGCACGAAAGCGUGGGGAGCAAACAGG
rnacentral:rRNA from 1 species